ACUACCCACUGAACUUAAGCAUAUCAAUAAGCGGAGGAAAAGAAACUAACCAGGAUUCCCCUAGUAACUGCGAGUGAAGCGGGAAAAGCUCAAAUUUAAAAUCUGGCGGUCUUUGGCCGUCCGAGUUGUAGUCUGGAGAAGCGUCUUCCGCGUUGGACCGUGUACAAGUCUCUUGGAACAGAGCGUCAUAGAGGGUGAGAAUCCCGUCUUUGACACGGACUACCAAUGCUUUGUGAUGCGCUCUCAAAGAGUCGCGUUGUUUGGGAAUGCAGCGCAAAAUGGGAGGUGAAUUCCCUCUAAAGCUAAAUAUUGGCGAGAGACCGAUAGCGAACAAGUACCGUGAGGGAAAGAUGAAAAGCACUUUGGAAAGAGAGUUAAACAGUACGUGAAAUUGCUAAAAGGGAAACGCUUGAAGUCAGUCGCGUCGUCCGGAACUCAGCUUUGCUUCGGCUUAGUGCACUUUCCGGUUGACGGGCCAGCAUCGAUUUUGACCGCUGGAAAAGGGCUGGAGGAAUGUGGCACCUUCGGGUGUGUUAUAGCCUUCAGUCGCAUACAGCGGUUGGGAUCGAGGAACGCAGCGCGCCUUAUGGCUGGGGUUCGCCCACAUUCGCGCUUAGGAUGCUGGCAUAAU
rnacentral:rRNA from 1 species